UGCGUAUGCGGGCUAAUAAGUCAGUGGUGAAAUCUUCCGGCUCAACCGGGAACCUGCCAUUGAUACUGUUAGUCUUGAGUUCGGUUGAGGUAGGCGGAAUGUGUAAUGUAGCGGUGAAAUGCUUAGAUAUUACACAGAACACCAAUUGCGUAGGCGGCUUACUAGACCGACACUGACGCUGAGGCACGAAAGCGUGGGGAGCGAACAGGAUUAGAUACCCUGGUAGUCC
rnacentral:rRNA from 1 species